GUUGUGGGGGCGGCCCCAAUUCGCUGGCUGCCGCGCUGCUCCGGAGCAGCUCGGCCAGAUUAAGUGGCCCUUAUCACUGGAACCGCUCCCAUCCCCACGCAGAGAUUGAUUCACGGACCUGUGUUCGAGUCUUCACUCGUACAUUCUACUUGCUUUGUGUCUUUGGGCAGGUCGGGAAACCUCUCAGCCUCAUCUGUAAAAUGUGAUCAUAAAUACCGGGUACCUGGAAGUGCUCGGUAAAUAGUAGUUUUUACUAUUACUCUCUCAUUUCAGCAGGACACUGAUCUUUUUACUCCUAGUUUACACGUAAGGAAACUGCCCGUGACCCUGCUGGUUCCAAAGCCUGCUCUUUUUCCAGCGCGGGGCUCUUUAUCCCGUCUCUGUCUACAAUCUUUCACACACGUUAAGUCAGUGCUUUCUGGGCCUCCAACAAGAAAGCAAACGCUAGGACCCUUCAAAUAUUUCAGGAAGGGGCGAGUUCUAGUCACUGCCUGUUCUUCUCCGAGCCCCAAUCAGCAAUUUAUUAUUACAAUUUUUUUUUUUUUUUUGAGACGGAGCUAUCUCCCAGACUGGAGUGCAGUGGUGCGAUCUCGGCUCACCGCAACCUCCGCCUCCCGGGUUUAAGCAAUUCUGCUGCCUCAGCCUCCCGAGUAGCUGGGAUUACAGGCAGCCGCCACCACGCCCGGCUGAUUUUUGUACUUUUAGUAGAGACGGGGUUUCACCAUGUUGUCCAGGCUGGUAUCGAACUCCUGACCACAAGUGAUACACCGGCCUCGGCCUCCCAAAGUGCUGGGAUUACCAGCGUGAGCCACAGUGCCCGGCCUUCUUUUUCUUUUUUAAACAGAGUUUCCCCCUGUUCCCAAAGCAGAGUGCAGUAGCAUGAUCAUAGCUCACUGCAGCAGCCUUGAAAUCCUAGACUCAAGUGAUCCUCCUGCUUCAGCCUCUUGAAUAGCUGGGACUACAGGCAUGCCACCAGGCCUGGCUAAUUUUUUUUUUUUUUUUUUUUUUUUCUGUAGAGACAGAUCUCACUAUGUUGACCGGGCUGGUCUCAAACUCCUGGCCUCAAGCAGUCCUCCUGCAGCAACUUCACAGCAACACUGGAAUGACAGGUGUGAGCCACUGUGGCAGGCCAAUCUCCUGGUUGAUUUCAAUCUAGACACUUUAAUGAGCACCAAACAUGAGCCAGGCAGUGGACUAGACUCAAGGAUGGGUUGAAUGUGUUUCCUGUCCUUCAAGCAAGCAGAGGGCAAAUAAGACCCAUGUAUUAGUAGCCAACAAUAACAUUGGGUGGCUCACGCCUGUAAUCCCAGCACUUUGGGAGGCCAAGACUGGCGGAUCAUUUGAGGUCAGGAGUUCGAGACCAGCCUGACCAACAUGGUGAAACCUCCACUCUACUAAAAGUACAAAAAAAUUAGCCGGGCAUGGUGGAGUGUGCCUGUAAUCAGGAGGCUGAGGCAGGAGAAUCACUUAAACCUGAGAGGCAGAGGUUGCAGUGAGCGGCGAUCAUGUACCAGUAAAGCACCUACUGCAUGCCAGUUAGUGUUCUGAGUGCUUUGCAAAUAUUAACUCACUCAAUCCUCGUAUCUCCACAAUGACCCUCUGAGGCAGGUUCUAUCUUUUCCCACUUGCAGAUGAGGAAAUUUGCCCAAGGUGACAGAAAUCAGGAUUCAAGCCCAGGCUGCUGGCUCCCAAGACCAUACUCUUUCUCCACUAUUGUCUAUGGCCUCCACAUUUUUGUUGUAUUUUUGGCAUUUGUUGACUUUGAAGUGUGGGAAGGAUUUGAGAGGCAGAGAAAAGGCACUUUGGGAACAACGUGAACCAAAACACGAGAGGUUUGCAGCUGCAUAAUCAUAAUAGCUCCUAUUUGUGAGGGUUUAGUGCAACUAGCCUUUUAAUGUAUAAUUUCAACCCCAGCAAUUCAUAUUAUGUAAGAAUUUUUUUUUUUUUUUGAGAUGGAGUUUCGCUCUGGUUGCCCAGGCUGGAGAGCAAUGGCGCAAUCUUGGCUCACCACAACCUCCGCCUCCUGGGUUCAAGCAAUUCUUCUGCCCCAGCCUCCCGAGGAGCUGGGAUUACAAGCAUGUGCCACCACGCCUGGCUAAUUUUGUAUUUUUAGUAGACACGGGGUUUCUCCAUGUUGGUCAGGCUGGUCUCAAACUCCGGACCUUAGGUGAUCUGCCCGCCUCAGCCUCCCAAAGUGCUGGGAUUAUAGGCGUGAGCCACCAUGCCCAUCCUUAUGUAAGAACUAUUAUAGCUCCGUUCCACAGAUGAGGAAACCAGGGACCAGAGGAAUUGUUGUGCAAAGUCACGGCUAGGAAGUGGAGGAGAAACCGGGACUCAAACCCAGGCCACCCAGUGGCCUAGUCUGCACUGUCACCACAGCACUCCACUGCUUCCCUCCUUUGUAGCUGGGAGAAGAUGGAAUUUAGUAACUGGAGAGGUGACUGGGAUGAGGUGCAGCUCUAGAAGCUGCACCAGAACUCACAGGACCCCAGAGCUGCCAAGCUAGAAUGCCCUCAAAGGGCUCGUGGUUCAAGCCCCAGAGGCGUCACCCCAUGGGAGUUUCGCUGAGGAGCCUGUCUCAUAGGUGGUUCUCCCUCUGAUCUUUCCUGCUGUCCAGUCAUCCUAAUCUGUUGUUCAGGCACUCCCAGGGAGAGCUUUUUCAGCCUUAACCUUGGCUUUUUGUCCUGCCUUGGCCCAAAUCCACACUCCUAGCCUGACUCCUACCGUGUUUUCUUCUCCUCCUCCUGCUCUCAAGACAUUCAAGAUUCUGUGCCCUUGUCACCUCGUCUCCUCACUGGGUUCUCUCAUUUCUGCAAUGAGUAAGAAAUGUGAGUAGGAAGAAGAUGCUCUCGGAAACUCAAGUUCAAAUAUUCCUGUUUCUGGUUAGCUCUGGGGCCUGCCAUGAGUCACUCAACUUCUCAUCCUGUUUUCCUGUCUGUAAUCAUAUUCAUACCCACCUAAGCAAAGCCUUUAGAUGAGAAAUAGAUGAGAUGAUGAAUGGAAACAACUAGUCAUGAAUUUUAAAUAUAUUAUUAAUAAUAAUAUAUAUAUAUAUAUAUAUUUUUUUUUUUGAGAUGGAGUCUUGUUCUGUCACCCAGGCUGGAAGGCAAUGGCAUGAUCUCAGCUCACUGAAACCUCCACCUCCUGGGUUCAAGCGAUUCUCCUGCCACAGCCUCCUGAGGAGCUGGGAUUAUAGGUGCCUGUCACCACGCCUGGCUAAUCUUUCUAUUUUUGGUAGAGACAGGGUUUCACCAUGUUGGCCAGGCUGGUCUCGAACUCCUGAGCUCAGGUGAUCCUCCCGCCUCGGCCUUCCAAAGUACAGGGAUUACAGGCGUGAGCCACUACGCCUGGCCAGUGGUAUUAUCAGCUAGUGAUAUUAUAUUAAUAAAUAUUAUUGUCCGGGCAUGGUGGCUCAUGCCUGUAAUCCCAGCACUUUUGGAGGCCAAGGUGAGUGGAUCACCUGAGGUCAGGAUUUCGAGACCAGUCUGGCCAACAUGGUGAAACUCCGUCUCUACUAAAAAUACAAAAAUUAGCCAGGCGUGGUGGCAGGCGCCUGUAAUCCCAGCUACUUGCGAGGCUGAGGCAGGAGAAUCGCUGGAACCUGGGAGGCAGAGGUUGCAGUGAGCCAAGAUUGCGCCAUUGCCCUCCAGCCGGGGCCGACAACAGUGAGACUCAGUCUCAAAAUAAAAAUAAAAAUAAAAAUAAGUAUUAUUAGCAGUGUGAUUAAGAAGGCAAAAAAAGAAUUAAUGAGGCACCAAUUCAGAAAGUGUGAGUGUGGUUGCCUGGUAGGGGAAGACUUGCCUGCCGGGGUCAGAGUUGGGCAAUAACUGGGAUUCUUUGGUUGGGAAGCCAAAAGCAUCUGCACCACUGGCCUUGGAAAGGAACUUGGGAACCCUACUUUAUUCCCUUCACCAAACCCCUCUGCCUCCAGAAGGAAUCUUAUACCUCCUUGGAAUUCUGAUGAACUCUGAAAUGCCUCACUUCCUGAAUAUCUACCUGAGAUUUAUUUAUUUAUUUAUUUAUUUAUUUAUUUAUUUAUUUAUUUAUUUAUUUUGAGAUGGAGUCUCGCCCUGUCACCCAGGCUGGAGUGCAGUGGCGUGAUCUCGGCUCACUGCAACCUCUGCCUCCUGGGUUCAAACCAUUCUGCCUCUGCCUCCCAAGUAGCUGGGAUUACAGGCGCCCACACCACGCCCAGCUAAUUUCUGUAUUUUUAGUAGCAACAGGGUUUCACCAUGUUGGUCAGGCCGGUCUCAAACUCCUGACCUCGUGAUCCACCCACCUCAGCCUCCCAAAGUGCUGGGAUUUCAGGCAUGAGCCACCACACCGGGCCUACCUGAGAUUUAUUAUGCAUGCCACUGAGCUACUCAACUGCAAACUCCUUGAGGAUGGGCACUUCAUCUUAACUGUUUCAUACACCCCCACACACGAACCUGCACUUAGGAUGAUGCCUUUGCCCUUGGUAGACUCCCUGAGUCCCCAAGUGUCAGAGCUGGGAGAGACCUUGAGAAUUCUCCACUACAAAUCCCCACUCACCUCCUGCCACGCACGAUUCACAUUUUACAGAUGAAAAAACUGAGAGGAACCAUUCAAAAGGGCAGAUGAGGCUGGUCCAAAGGUAGUGAGUUAUCUCAACUGAUUGUUCACAGUCAGUUACAGAUCGAGCUCCUUGUUCUACCCUUUCCCACCUUCUCACUACUGCACUUUACUAGUCUUUUUAAAAAGUUUUUUUAAUAAAUAAAAGAGCAGAUGAACAAGAGACUAGAUUUAUCAGAGGUGAUCCACAGGGAAGGACUCCAAAGUCAGGGCUUCCUGCAUCAGAACAGAAAGGCAGGCAGGGCACAGUGGCUCAAGCCUACAAUCCCAGCACUUUGAGAGGCUGAAGUGAGAGGAUGGCUUGAGCCCAGAAGUUCAAGGCCAGCCUGGGCAACAUGGCAAAUCCCCAUCACUGCAACAAAUACAAAAAUGAGCUGGACGUAGUGGCAUGUGCCUGUGGUCCCAGCUACUCGGGAGGCUGAGGUGGGAGGAUUGCUUGAGCCUAGGAGGUUGAGUCUGCAGUGAGCCAUGAUUGCACCACUGCUCUUCAGCCUGGGUUACGGUGUGAGACCUUGUCUCAAAAAAAAAAAAAAAAAAAAAAAAAUAGAGAGGGAGGGGCAGGAAAGGAAGAUUGAGGAAGAGAAUAUGGGAAGUUAUACCUGCCCCAUUGCAAGGACCCCAAAGGCUUUGCAGCCAGAAGCCGGAAUUCCUGGGCAGAGAUAGGGAUCCAUUUAGUGCCAAUCACAGCAUUUUGAAUCUGGGAAGAAGCUUAAAGCCUAUCAAACCGAAGAAGUUUCUUGAAUGCCAGUAAAGAGAGUAAACCACUGUUUUUUGCCCUCUACUAAUUUUUUUUUUUAAUCUUAUCUCUACUGAAUACAGGACAAAAAGACAUUUGUCAGGGUUGAUUCUUGGGCCUUCUGAAGUUCGGGGCACAUGCAGGCGAGCAUUACAGAUCCUAAGAAUAAAUCAGCUGGGAGGGGCUUAGAUCCCAGUGGGGUCCCAGCACGUCCUGUGCCCUCCCCACCCCUCCCAGCAAGCAUCCUGAAGGACCCCCUAUACAGCUCCUCACCAGGGCACUGCCGUCUUUUCCUACCCUGUAGGGAGUAAGUGGGGCCACUAAGUCCUGCUUGCUGCUAGGAGUGUGGGGGUGUCAGUGGAGGAUCUGUACUCCAUGCCCUCUUAGCAGGCAUCCCCCCAGCCAAGGCGCUCAUUAAUGAUGGACUCCAGUGAAGGAAAUCAUAACUGGGCCUUCAUCUCUGCCUGAGGCCUCCAGCCAGCCCCUAAAGCCUGAACUCUCAGGACAGAAAGCCUCCCCUUGUAGAGCAGUGUUUGAUUCCUCAGGCCCCAGGGAAAUUUCCAGGACUCUUACAGCUUUCCAACAACAAGCUUGUUGGUCAAACUGUUACAAAAACUCAGAUAAGGGUUAGGCAUGGCGGCUCAUGCCUAUGAUCCCAGCACUUUGAGAAGCCCUGGCAAGGGGAUCAGUUGAGCCCAGGAGUUUGAGACCAGCCUGGGCAACGUGGCGAAAACCUGUGUCUACAAUAAGAUACAAAAAUUAGCCGGGUGUGGUGGUGCACACCUGUAGUCCCAGCCACUAGGGAGGCUGAGGUGGGAGGAUUGCUUGAGCCCCGCUAAGUUAUGAUUGCACUGCUGCACUCCAGUUUGGGUGACAGAGUGAGACCCUGUCUCAAAAAAAAAAGAAAAGAAAAAGAAAAAACACUGAGAUAAAGAAGCUACCAGAAAAAACAAAACAAAACAAAACAAAAAACAAUAAAGAAAAAGAAGAAGCCAACCAAGAGUCACAGCCCUUUUACCCUCCACUGCCCCUUAGGCUAAUAAAGGCCUCUCCAGCCUUCCUUUCCCAUUUAUUUUUUUCCACAGAAGAACUCCACUGAACAUUCAUUGAAGGCCCAGAUUUAGAGUGAGCGGGGCAAACCAAGUUUUGUGCUGGGUGGAAGGAGGGGCGGCUGCUGUUCAGCCCACAGGAUUCCUGUGAGGACACCACAUGUUCAUAGUUGUUAAACCAUCUUGCAAACUCAUUGCCUGAUGUUCAGAUCUCCCGGCUCAGCUGGUGUCUGUGGAGUACAGGAUUUAUGUUUCAGAGAGGGCAUGAGCCCAGAUGAUGCCUCAAGACUCAGGUUCUAGGAGAGAAAGCAGUGCUUCAGGGACUUUGACUGCCCCCGCCCGAAAUGCAGUCGCCAUCUGCAGGUAAACAGAGCUGGAGCUGGUGCUGCCGGAAAAGAAAGAGGAGGGCUCUCCGGCAGCCUGCGGCUUCCUCAAGGACUUCCCAGGCCAGGCGCUGUGGCUCACGCCUGUAAUCCCAGCACUUUGGGAGGCCGAGGCGGGCAGAUCAUGAGGUCAGGAGAUCGAGACCAUCCUGGCUAACACAGUGAAACCCCAUCUCUACUAAAAAUACAAAAAUUAGCCAGGCGUAGUGGCGGGCGCCUGUAGUCCCAGCUACUCAGGAGGCUGAGGCAGGAGAAUGGCGUGAACCCAGGAGGCGGAGCUUGCAGUGAGCCGAGAUCGCGCCACUGCACUCCAGCCUGGGUGACAGAGCGAGACUCCGUCUCAAAAAAAAAAAAAAAAAAGAACUUCCCUGACAGCACCCAGGUUUCCCUGAUCCGCCCGCAUUGUCAGACUUCUAAGGCCAGGCUUUAGUCCAAGCCUCUUUCUUUUUUAAAUUUAUGGCACUCUCAAAACCACCUGGUGUGCGUCAAGCCCUCUGCCACUAGACCCUGUGUGAAAACUGUAAUGGUAAAAUGCUCAAACCAGGGCAAUAAGCACAUUUUGACCCUUCUGCUUUCAUUCACAUAAAACUGAUUUCUCAGUCUAUAUUAAUCUUGGAUCACAUUUUUUUUUUUGAGACAAGGUCUCCCUGGGUUGCACAAGCCAGUUUUAAACUCCUGACCUCAAGCGAUCCUCCUGCCUUGGCCUUCCAAAGCACUGUGUGAGCCACUGAGCCUGACCUCAAAAUUGUACAUUCAAAACAAGCUGACGUCCUGGGCACAGGAGGCACGUGCCUGUAGUCCCAGCUACUCAGGAGGCUAAAGCAGGAGGAUGGCUUGAGGCCAGGAGUUUGAGGCUGCAAUAUGCUAUGAUCACACGUGUGAAUAGCCACUGUACUCCAGCCUGGGCAAUAAAGUGAGACCCUGUCUCUAAAAAAAUUUAAAAAAAAAAGCUGGCAGAAACUUAGUUAUUUGGGAUUGAUUUGCAUCAAGUUUAGUGAAUUGUUGGGAGAUUAGCAGUGUGUUAGUCCAGUGUGGGGAAAAGAAAGAGAGAUCAGAUUGUUGCUGUGUCUGUGUAGAAAGAAGUAGACAUAGGAGACUCCAUUUUGUUUUGUACUAAGAAAAAUUCUUCUGCCUUGAGAUGCUGUUAAUCUGUAACCUUACCCCCAACCCCGUGCUCUCUGAAACAUGUGCUGUGUCAACUCAGGGUUAAAUGGAUUAAGGGCUGUGCAAGAUGUGCUUUGUUAAACAGAUGCUUGAAGGCAGCAUGCUCGUUAAGAGUCACCACCACUCCCUAAUCUCAAGUACCCAGGGACAGGCCAGGCACGGUGGCUCACGCCUGUAAUCCCAGCACUUUGGGAGGCCAAGGCAGGCAGAUCACGAGGUCAGGAGAUCAAGACCAUCCUGGCAAACACGGUGAAACCCCGUCUCUACUAAAAAUACAAAAAAUUAGCCGGGCGAGGUGGCGCACGCCUGUAGUCCCAGCUACUCGGGAGGCUGAGGCAGGAGAAUGGCGUGAACCUGGGAGGCGGAGCUUGCAGUGAGCAGAGAUCACGUCAUUGCACUCCAGCCUGGGCGACAGAGCAAAACUCCCUCUCAAAAAAAAAAAAAAAAAAUGAAUCAAGUACCCAGGGACACAAACACUGCGGAAGGCUGCAGGGACCUCUGCCUAGGAAAGCCAGGUAUUGUCCAAGGUUUCUCCCCAUGUGAUAGUCUGAAAUAUGGCCUCGUGGGAAGGGAAAGACCUGACCGUCCCCCAGCCCGACACCCGUAAAGGGUCUGUGCUGAGGAGGAUUAGUGUAAGAAGAAGGAACGCCUCUUUGCAGUUGAGACAAGAGGAAGGCAUCUGUCUCCUUCCCGUCCCUGGGCAAUGGAAUGUCUCGGUAUAAAACCUGAUUGUAUGUUCCAUCUACUUAGGGGGAAACCGCCUUAGGGCUGGAGAUGGGACAUGCGGGCAGCAAUACUGCUCUUUAAGGCAUUGAGAUGUUUAUGUGUAUGCAUAUCUAAACCACAGCACUUAAUUCUUUACCUUGUCUAUGAUGCAGAGACCUUUGUUCAGGUGUUUGUCUGCUGACCUCUCCACAAUUAUCCUAUGACCCUGCCACGUCCCCCUCUCCGAGAAACACCCAAGAAUGAUCAAUAAAUACUAAGGGAACUCAGAGGCCGGCGGGAUCCUCCAUAUGCUGAACGCUGGUCCCCUGGGCCCCCUUAUUUCUUUCUCUAUACUUUGUCUCUGUGUCUCUUUCUUUUCCAAGUCCACCUAACGAGAAACACCCACAGGUGUGAAGAGGCAACCCACCCCUUCAGUCCAGGAUCUCCUAGAAGCAGUUGCCAAGACAGGAUGUGCAGGAAAUAUAUUAGAAGUGUCUGUGACAGGAAAUGGGGCUGGGAGCACAGGUGUGAUGCUGCGUAAGGGAAGGAGGAAGGAAGGUUUGGUGGGUGGCAGCGUCGUCUUAGAUUGCAAAUGCAAUUCUGGGGAAAAUUCAGCAAGCCUGUUGGGGGCUACUCCAGCCGAAGUUACCCUUCUUCAGAGGGGUCCUCAGGCUCCCAGGACCAGCCUGCCUUCACAUCCUUGAUACAGGGAUGCUAAGUCAUGACUGGAUGCAGCCCAUGGGCAGCACAGCAUCUGAAUGCUAGGAGGGGCCCUCAGCCAAUCAGCUCUCUUCCCUGGGUAUGGUGGCUUAUGCCUGUAAUCUUAGCACUUUGGGAGGCUGAGGCAGGUGGAUCACU
rnacentral:lncRNA from 10 species